CCACAUUCUACAAACUCAGUUGACGUCAGCAGUCUUGCCACUGAGAAGUGAUCUUCAUGAAAGAAAAGAGAGGAAAAAAAAGAAUCUACAUAUCUGACAUGUGUUGGGGAUUUAAACCCAGGUCAAGACACUAUGGAGACCUGAUCAAGGACCACUCUCAUUUCUUAAGGCUGUAUCAACAGAUGGUGACAUCAAGAAGAAACUUCCAUGGUACUUUAGUCACCAGCCCUUGGGCAAGAACAGAGACUAAGCACUUGCACAGCUACCAGACAGACUGGCAAGAAGAGACAGAAAGUAAU
rnacentral:lncRNA from 1 species